ACUUAAAACAUAAUCUGUCUUGCAAAAAAUGAUCCUAAUAAAUAUACUUAAAAUAGUUAUCAAAAUCGGGGGGCAUAACCCACAAGAACGGUUGUUGAUGAAGAACUGUGAGAUAAUGAUCCAACUUGAUAAAGAGAAGAGGCUUGAAGAUUGUAGAAAGAAGACGUUUGAUAGCAUAAGUGUGGCAAACACUUUGACUCAUCUAGAAGGUCUACUAAAGGAGAGAUUUUAAGAGCACGUGAGAGGCAUGUGCUAUGACUAAGAGCUGGAGUCUUUAUAAGGCAAAAGUCUUCUGGUUUUCAAUUGGGCGAGAGAGUGAGGGACGACGUCAUCGUCUUCUUCACCGGAGCUCCAAGCUUCAAGAGAGAUAGAGAGAGAGACCAAGAGAGAGAAGAAAUACAGAGAGGUUGUAUGUUCUUGGGGUCUUGGGUAGUCUCAUUCUUUAGGAUUCUCUUUUCCUUGUAAACCAAUCAGAGUGUGAUUGGUGGUGAGUGAUCUUCGUGUACAAACCCGUCGGAGGUGGUUUCUGAUUUCAUCUAUGGAAGUUGGGGACCGAAAGGUCCUAACCGGAUGUAGCGGUUCGUUAACACCGUGAACCGGGUCAAUUGUGUGUGUUCUUGGUUCGUCGGAGUUCGCCGGAAUCGAUCGGAGUGGAAUUGACGGAACUCGAUUCCUCAACAAGUGGUAUCAGAGCGCAAGGUUAUGGCGAUGCACGGAUUAGCUUCGGAUUCUCAAGUGAUUCGUCGAUUACUCAAGAACGAACCGGAGGAAGAAGAAAGAUGAAGCGUUACGGGUUUAUGAUAUCACGAGAUCACUUGGUGACUGAUCUUGAAUCAGUUAAUUAUGGAGCCAGAAAGAGUUCUACGAUGGAGAGUCUCAGUGAUUAGCAAUUGUAGGUUCUGGAAAGAGGAAACAGAAUCAACGAUGAACACAUUCAUCAUCACAACGUCAAAGAAGACGCACCGUAGGAGUCACCGUUACGGAAACGUCGCAAGCUUGAGGAAGAAGAAGAUAUCAGUUGGGUUCAUGUUGAUAUCACAGGUCUUGAAGGAAGACAUGUUUGUGGUGAAGAAACUCAGUGAUGGUGAUGAUUUCAAGAAGGUGAAAUCAUGGAGCAGUAAGUUAAUCUCUCUACUCUCGGUGAUGAAGCGGCACUGUUACUGCGAGCAUGGUCGGUAGAUGAUCUUGGAGGCUUCAAGAUUGGUCAGCACAAAUCAGUCAAGACUGAAGGAAGAGCAGUGGAGCAAUGAGGUUUUGUUCGUGUUCUGGGUUGUGUGUUCGUUGAGGCUAACGCGAGGAGGAUGUCUCAACGCCAGGCUGAGAGCUUUCGACGCAGGGUUAUGCAAUAAGAAAGAAUCGAGCAAGCGUAAGGCUCAAAUCUCAGAGUUGAUGUUUCUGGUACUCAUGGUCUGUGAAUCUCAAAGAACAGGAAACUGGUAAGAACAUAAGGGCGGCAUACUAGUUUUACAAAAGAAGAUAGCCAAAGUUGUACUGGGUUCAAGUUGUUUUCUUUGGUUAAAUCUUGGUGUAAAAGGAUGAGAUGCUGCUGGUGUUCAAGUGUUUGCUGAGGUAAUAAGCUGGAGUAACCACUUAGAUCAAAGGACUAGGGGACGCCUUAGGAGGUUUGACUACUGUGUGUUGGUGGAAGCUUAUAUAUCAGUUCGGGUUUUCAGAGUUCAGAGAAUAUAUGGUGUAUUGAGUAUGGAUAAAGAUCAGAAAACAGGUUAUGAGAGCAGUGAAAUAACUUUGAAGGUUUUCAAGUUAUGGUACAGAUUUGAGUGAAGGUUGUGUGCUUGAUUAGUCUCAGAGGUAAAGAUCAGACGGUUAAGUCUGAGAAGUCUACAGAACGUGGUUCACAUGGUCAAGAGGUUGAUCGUGAAAUCUGUGAGGUUCAGAUUGGUGAAUCAAAGUGAAAGGCGUUUGUCUUAUGAGCUUUGUGAAGCAGUAGAUGGUGAGUUCUGAGGCGUGCUGAUCCAGGGAGUGCUGCACGUUAAAUCUCGAGGUCCACAUAUGGUCUAAAGGAGUGCUGCAAGGAAGCUGCUGAAGUAAAAUAAAUCUGAAAAAAAAAGAUUUAUGUCUGUGAGAAGAACAUGAAGAACGUGUAUGUUCUGUAACAAUGGCUGGACAGAGACUGAGACAAGAUCAUAUUGGAGUUUUCAGUGGCAGCAAAGAAAAACUUGUGGAGCAGUGUUAUUUUCAGAGGAGUUUUUGAGAAGAAACCCAGAGAGUAUCAACGAGUUCAAGGUUCAGCAUGGUCUCAUCAGAUGGAGGGUUCAGCGUGUGAUUAUAAUGUGUGGAGAAGAUGUCGGGAGUCAGCAUGGUUCUUCAUAGAGGAUAUGAAUUACAAGGACAUCAAGGCAGAGUCAAAACAGGUAUGAUCAGAUUUUAUCUAACAUACAUUUGAGCUCUGAUUUUGCAGGUAAUCACAGGAAAAGAAGAACAGUUCGAGCUGGAGCUGUUCGAGGGAAUAACCGAGCUGGACAACUCAAAGAGGUCUCUAUCAGUAGCGAGAAGGAGGCAAAGAGUGUUAUCAAAGUCAAGAGGGAAUCAGUUUGGAGCAGAGGAGACGUGUGUAAAGCAAAUAGACAGCCUGAUUUGCUGAUACAUUAAUGCUCAUGUGGGAGCUGAAGCUACAAGCUCUGUUUUGAAGUAACUGAGACAAGCUCAGGUUAGAGCUGUUGUGACACAGAGGUAGUGUACCUUGACAGGGAAGAUGAUUACUCUUGGUGAAACUGAUGGUGGAAUCAGUGGUAUAGAAACCAGUGGAGGUUUUGGGUUUCUAGUUUACACGUCAACUGAGAUAUGGCGUUGCUGGUUAUGUGGAGAUCUGGACAAUAGACUCAAGGCUAAGGCUCUGCUUAAGAAAGUCUCAAGUAAUGUCAAGAUGUCAAGGAGAUAUAACAGGUGCAGUCAUUCACGGAGGGAAUGAUAGUAACAGCCAAGGUCAAUUCAGUUGAGUGACGUAAGGAAGCAAAGGGGAAGCGUCUUGGUGGAUCUUCUGAUAUUAAAAAGAUUUGUUGCAGUGGCUGCAGUGAUAAUGAGUGUGCAGUCUGAGACACAUUAUCAAGGAUUACGCCAUGGUUAAAGUUCAAGUCAGUGAUGAUUAACUGUGAAAGGUGGAGCUAAAGCUGAGAAAAUAUGAAGCUUUGAACGAUUCAAGCUUCGGGUGGAGUCUCUGCAAAUAAAUGAAGAGCACGGCUACUUCAGAUGUUGAGUUGCAGGUGGAGUACUGAAGUCAGACGUUUUCAGAGGAUGGUAGCUCACAGCAGGAAAAGUUAAUAGGGAAUGAGUCACUGAUUUGUUUUCUGAUAGGAUCCAUGGGUGAUAAAAGUCUGCAGAAGACAAGGAUCCAAGUUCAGAAAGAGAUGUCAAUAGGUUUAGUCACAGGUUGGUUUCAUCAGAGGUAAAAGUGGAGGCUGCUCAGUUCUGAUGGAGUAAUUGUUGGCGGUAGUGACAUCUAGUGUACAGUUGCAGGCAUCUCAAGGAUAAUGAGAUGGUGGUGUUAAUAUUUGAGAUGGGGACACGUUGAAGAGGCUGGUUGCAAAGUCUGUUGCAGGGUCUGCAAGAACGGUUUCAGUAGCAUCGAUGCAAAGGAGCUUCAUAGUCAGGAAAAAGGAUAAUGAAGUAUGGUCAUCUCAGAAGGUUAAGCAACUGAAGGCAUUCAUGAUUGAAUGGAAAUGCAGAGAAGUCAAACUGCAUUGGGGUAAAGAACAAGUGAGUUUUACUUGUGUCUUUGGAGCAUCACAAGAAAGAGUUCGUCUCAGGAGAACAGAGAAGUUAUACUCACGUUGAAGUGGAGCAGCAUUCUCAGCAUGCUUGAAGAAUGCAAAUGAAUAAGAAAGAGGUACUGAUUGGGUCUGAGACAGAAUGUGAUGCAAACACCAAGUCUGGUGUGAUUUCUCAUACAAGUAAAGGUGUGAGAGGGUGGCACAGCAGAGAAGAGAUAUCAGGGUUCUAGAGGAGAUAUCUUAAGGUCUGGUGCACAGAGAAGUCUCAGGAGCACUACAAGAGGCUGUUAGUGUGAGACGUGGGUGAAAGGAGAAAUCAGCAGUGAGGUUUAAGCUGUUGAUGCAGGUCUGUUGGAAGAUUGCUUGCGCCAGGGUUGCAUCCAGAGUCAGUCUAGCAGAGUUAACAGUUAGACGAUGGGUUCAUUGUACUGAUGGUGGUACAAAGGGUUCGCAGCAAGUAUGACGCAGAAGGGUUUUUUGAACAAGGUUAAGUAGAGAUAAUUGCUUCGAAAGUCUUUCUAGCGAGGUGGAGUUAGACGGCGUGUUAUGUUGGAAACAACAUCGGAGCAGAGUGAUGCUUAAGAGUUCAACAAGUGACUGUAAGUUCAAUCUCAGGUUUUAAUUAAACUGACAUAUUGUUGGUUGAGAUUGUUUUGCAGGUAUGAAUCAAGGAUUGCUUUAGGUUGAAGCAUGUAUGAUUCAAGAACCUUUGCAAGUGAUUCAAUGGAGUUUGUUUCUAAACGUCAGUGCACAUGACCAGAAACAAACAGCUAUAGCAGAAGAAUCAUGUUGCAGGAAGAAAGGUUAAGUUUUCUCAAUCACUUUAACAGGCUGAUGGUUGUGACAGAAACCAUAGUGGUAACUGUGUGAUUGACUAACCUAAUAAGCAGUCAUGCUUAGGAAAGGUUUCUGUUGGAUAUUAACAAGUUUGAGAUGAUCACUUUACUUGUUAAUGUUCUGUUUCUGAGUGGUUUAACUCAGGUAUCCAGAUGAUGAAAACACAUGAUCAAUGAGAGUUUAGCUUGGCAAAGGAAUGUGUCGAAGCAGGUAUAGCUCAGGAGGAGACAUGGAGAUGUCAAGAGCUCAAACAGGGACGUGUUUACUUAUGUGAUCAUUGAGCUUGAGCUUGACUAGUGUCUGGUGUCAUUGAUGGUGCAGUAAGUUUAGGGAUUAAAUUUACUACUGUGUUUUGGGUUGUAUGAGUGAGACUUAUGCAGGUACAUGAAGAUGAAAUGCCAAGUCUAGAGCCGGGUCAAAUGGGUUCGAUAGGCAGCUCUUACAAGGAUGUUCUCAAGCUUGAAUCAAGGUGGAGAUUGUGAGAUAAUGAUCCAACUUGAUAAAGAGAAGAGGCUUGAAGAUUGUAGAAAGAAGACGUUUGAUAGCAUAAGUGUGGCAAACACUUUGACUCAUCUAGAAGGUCUACUAAAGGAGAGAUUUUAAGAGCACGUGAGAGGCAUGUGCUAUGACUAAGAGCUGGAGUCUUUAUAAGGCAAAAGUCUUCUGGUUUUCAAUUGGGCGAGAGAGUGAGGGACGACGUCAUCGUCUUCUUCACCGGAGCUCCAAGCUUCAAGAGAGAUAGAGAGAGAGACCAAGAGAGAGAAGAAAUACAGAGAGGUUGUAUGUUCUUGGGGUCUUGGGUAGUCUCAUUCUUUAGGAUUCUCUUUUCCUUGUAAACCAAUCAGAGUGUGAUUGGUGGUGAGUGAUCUUCGUGUACAAACCCGUCGGAGGUGGUUUCUGAUUUCAUCUAUGGAAGUUGGGGACCGAAAGGUCCUAACCGGAUGUAGCGGUUCGUUAACACCGUGAACCGGGUCAAUUGUGUGUGUUCUUGGUUCGUCGGAGUUCGCCGGAAUCGAUCGGAGUGGAAUUGACGGAACUCGAUUCCUCAACAAGUGGUAUCAGAGCGCAAGGUUAUGGCGAUGCACGGAUUAGCUUCGGAUUCUCAAGUGAUUCGUCGAUUACUCAAGAACGAACCGGAGGAAGAAGAAAGAUGAAGCGUUACGGGUUUAUGAUAUCACGAGAUCACUUGGUGACUGAUCUUGAAUCAGUUAAUUAUGGAGCCAGAAAGAGUUCUACGAUGGAGAGUCUCAGUGAUUAGCAAUUGUAGGUUCUGGAAAGAGGAAACAGAAUCAACGAUGAACACAUUCAUCAUCACAACGUCAAAGAAGACGCACCGUAGGAGUCACCGUUACGGAAACGUCGCAAGCUUGAGGAAGAAGAAGAUAUCAGUUGGGUUCAUGUUGAUAUCACAGGUCUUGAAGGAAGACAUGUUUGUGGUGAAGAAACUCAGUGAUGGUGAUGAUUUCAAGAAGGUGAAAUCAUGGAGCAGUAAGUUAAUCUCUCUACUCUCGGUGAUGAAGCGGCACUGUUACUGCGAGCAUGGUCGGUAGAUGAUCUUGGAGGCUUCAAGAUUGGUCAGCACAAAUCAGUCAAGACUGAAGGAAGAGCAGUGGAGCAAUGAGGUUUUGUUCGUGUUCUGGGUUGUGUGUUCGUUGAGGCUAACGCGAGGAGGAUGUCUCAACGCCAGGCUGAGAGCUUUCGACGCAGGGUUAUGCAAUAAGAAAGAAUCGAGCAAGCGUAAGGCUCAAAUCUCAGAGUUGAUGUUUCUGGUACUCAUGGUCUGUGAAUCUCAAAGAACAGGAAACUGGUAAGAACAUAAGGGCGGCAUACUAGUUUUACAAAAGAAGAUAGCCAAAGUUGUACUGGGUUCAAGUUGUUUUCUUUGGUUAAAUCUUGGUGUAAAAGGAUGAGAUGCUGCUGGUGUUCAAGUGUUUGCUGAGGUAAUAAGCUGGAGUAACCACUUAGAUCAAAGGACUAGGGGACGCCUUAGGAGGUUUGACUACUGUGUGUUGGUGGAAGCUUAUAUAUCAGUUCGGGUUUUCAGAGUUCAGAGAAUAUAUGGUGUAUUGAGUAUGGAUAAAGAUCAGAAAACAGGUUAUGAGAGCAGUGAAAUAACUUUGAAGGUUUUCAAGUUAUGGUACAGAUUUGAGUGAAGGUUGUGUGCUUGAUUAGUCUCAGAGGUAAAGAUCAGACGGUUAAGUCUGAGAAGUCUACAGAACGUGGUUCACAUGGUCAAGAGGUUGAUCGUGAAAUCUGUGAGGUUCAGAUUGGUGAAUCAAAGUGAAAGGCGUUUGUCUUAUGAGCUUUGUGAAGCAGUAGAUGGUGAGUUCUGAGGCGUGCUGAUCCAGGGAGUGCUGCACGUUAAAUCUCGAGGUCCACAUAUGGUCUAAAGGAGUGCUGCAAGGAAGCUGCUGAAGUAAAAUAAAUCUGAAAAAAAAAGAUUUAUGUCUGUGAGAAGAACAUGAAGAACGUGUAUGUUCUGUAACAAUGGCUGGACAGAGACUGAGACAAGAUCAUAUUGGAGUUUUCAGUGGCAGCAAAGAAAAACUUGUGGAGCAGUGUUAUUUUCAGAGGAGUUUUUGAGAAGAAACCCAGAGAGUAUCAACGAGUUCAAGGUUCAGCAUGGUCUCAUCAGAUGGAGGGUUCAGCGUGUGAUUAUAAUGUGUGGAGAAGAUGUCGGGAGUCAGCAUGGUUCUUCAUAGAGGAUAUGAAUUACAAGGACAUCAAGGCAGAGUCAAAACAGGAGGUUGUUUCUGCAAUAUAGAAAGUCUGGGGUUAAUAUUAAAAUAAUCAAACGAUGAAGGACCCGAGUUGCAAAACAGCCAAGAAUGGCCAUUGUAGCUCACAAGCUUCCGGAAGACGGAUGCGGCGGCGAAAGCUACGAACUGAACAACUCCGAAGCUUCAAGACGCCUUAUCCAUGGGAUUGAGAUGAUGAUUGGAGCUUGACGAGACAAUGAUUUAGUGGGGAAAGGAAAGUCGCGACGAGGAGAUAUGGACUCCCGGAAGAGGCGAAGGAGAGGGCUUUCCAAUGAGGAGUCUUGAUGGUGAGCUUGAUUCCAACGAUGAGCACAACCACGUGGUGGGACUGAGUACAGUGGAUUUAAUCUUCGAUUUGUGACGAGAGGAGAGCUUGGUCGCGGUGGAGGAGCUCGCCGUUGAGUCGUGAUUACGACAACGGUGGAGGAGCCUGCGGUUGAGGACCUCUUCACGAUUUUUUUUCUUUUUUUUUUACGUUCUGUUUUUGAUUUUUUAACUUUUUUCUUUUUAAAAAAAUUGACAAAAACUACAAAACAUCAAAAUUAAUUAGAUAAAUUGAAGGGUAUAAUGGUAUUAAAAAGAAUAUAAAUCCUAAUUUCCUAAAAAAUCUUACAGAAAUCUUAAGGUGACAAAUCAAA